rnacentral:rRNA from 1 species
UACGGAGGGUGUAAGCGUUAUCCGGAUUCACUGGGUUUAAAGGGUGCGUAGGCGGGCAGGUAAGUCAGUGGUGAAAUCUCCGGGCUUAACCCGGAAACUGCCGUUGAUACUAUCUGUCUUGAAUAUCGUGGAGGUAAGCGGAAUAUGUCAUGUAGCGGUGAAAUGCUUAGAUAUGACAUAGAACACCCAUUGCGAAGGCAGCUUACUACACGAUCAUUGACGCUGAGGCACGAAAGCGUGGGGAGCAAACAGG